AUUGAACGCUGGCGGCAUGCCUUACACAUGCAAGUCGAACGGCAGCACGGGAGCAAUCCUGGUGGCGAGUGGCGAACGGGUGAGUAAUAUAUCGGAACGUGCCCAGUCGUGGGGGAUAACGUAGCGAAAGCUACGCUAAUACCGCAUACGAUCUAUGGGUGAAAGCGGGGGAUCGCAAGACCUCGCGCGAUUGGAGCGGCCGAUAUCAGAUUAGGUAGUUGGUGGGGUAAAAGCCUACCAAGCCUUCGAUCUGUAGCUGGUCUGAGAGGACGACCAGCCACACUGGAACUGAGACACGGUCCAGACUCCUACGGGAGGCAGCAGUGGGGAAUUUUGGACAAUGGGCGCAAGCCUAGAUCCAGCAAUGCCGCGUGCAGGAUGAAGGCCU
rnacentral:rRNA from 1 species